AGCGCGGGUCUGCGGGUGCGUGAGGAGAACGCUCCCGUGGACGGCUGCCCCGCGCUCCCCGGCGUCGCGGGCCUGCUGAGCGCCGCGUCAGCGUCUGUGGCGCGUCCGUGGGGCCUGGCGGGGCCCGGGCGCUCUCCUCAGGGAGGCAAAUGUGGAUGUGGAAGGAAGAAGACUCUGAUGGCACAGGCAGAGGCUGGGAAGUUGCAGCUGCAAAGCAACAACCCAAGAUGCAGCAAGUGCCAGAAACUAGGAAGAGCCCAUGGAGGACCCUACGCUGGAGCCUUCAGAUAGAGCAGGGAGCAGCAGGCCUCUGACAUCAGGCCCUGCCCUCCAGAACUUGCCUUCCACGACCAGUGAAGAUGCCUUUGAUCUCUGUCUUCAUUGCUCUCUUCAGAGGUUCCAUCAGCUUUGGACAGCUCUAUAGGCUAGAUGAGUUGGUGAGUGUUCUGCUCUCUUUGGCAGCUCCUUUGUUUUCAGAAACACACAGGUGAUUCUGUAGAAAUUGACCCUAAAAAUCCUUCAGCCCCAUCAGGAUUUCACCAGCUUUACAUGCAUGUGUGUGUGUGUGUGUGUGUGUGUGUGUGUGUGUGUUGCUGUAUGAAAUACAUCAGCUCAGUAAUACGGUGCUAGAAAAAGAAGAUCCAUGUAGGAAAUGGCAUACUAAGAAGGUAGCUGGAGGAAGGAGAUUGACAACCAUGCACACAGCAAGAAUAGUUCUAAGUAGCACAAAGACAGGUGGAUAAAUGUGUGUAGUAUCGUCCCCUGAAUAAUAGAGUAGUUAUGUCCCCUAGCAAUUCCACUGCUGGUGAUAUGAGGAAAUUUAGAAUUCAAGGACAGUGGGAUUUAAAGAUACACCUAAAAUAUAUACUUUGUCAAUAGAAGGUAGUUUAAGUUCCAGACAUUUUUGUAAUAAAACAAACACUUAGUACUUUCCUUAAUAACUAAGGAUCUUGGCAAUUUGGCCAUGUCCAUGGAGUCUUCCAGUUUGUAUUUUUUAAAAGAUAGAUAGAUAGAUAAAUAUAUUUAUUUCUUUAUUUAAAAGGCAGAGUUAGAGAAUGAGAGAGAGAAUCCAGUCUCCCAUCCACUGGUUCACUCCUGAAAUGGCCACAAUGGCUGGAAUUGUGCCUUUCUGAAUCCAGGAGCUUCUUCCAUGUCUCCCAUGUGGGUGCAGGGGCCCGAGUACCAGAACUGUCAUCUGCUGCCUUCCCAGGUGCAAUAGCAGGGAGCUGCAUUGGAAAUAGAGCAGCCAGAUGUUGAACCAGUGCCCGUAGGGGAUGCCAGCACCACAUGUGGCAGCUUUCCUCACUAUGCCACAGUGCCAGCUCAGUUCUUCCACUUCUUUUUUUAAUAAAUCUUUUUUUAUGACAGGCAGAGUGGACAGUGAGAGUGAGACAGAGAGAAUGGUGUUCCUUUUGCUGUUGGUUCACACUCCAAUGGCUGCUGCGGCCGGCGCGCUGCGGCAGACACACCGCACUGAUCCGAUGGCAGGAGCCAGGUGCUUAUCCUGGUCUCCCAUGGGGUGCAGGGCCCAAGCACUUGGGCCAUCCUCCACUGCACUCCCUGGCCACAGCAGAGAGAUGGCCUGGAAGAGGGGCAACCGGGACAGAAUCCGGUGCCCCGCCCGGGACUAGAACCCGGUGUGCCGGCACAGCAAGGUGGAAGAUUAGCCUAGUGAGCCGUGGCGCCAGCUUACACUUCUUUACUGAAGAAAAAUCGGUCACCUUCACAGAUAUUGGAAGAGGCAGGUUUUCAGCACAGCACCCGAUGCUGCUUGGGACAUGCACAUCCCUUGUCAGAGUGCCUGGGGUUGAGUUCCUGUCCUACUUCUGAUUAAUUUUCUUCUAAUGUGCACCCUGGGAGGCAGCAGGUGAUACUGGGUGCUGUUGGUUGCCUGUGAUUCAGGUAAGAGACCCAGAGUGCCUUCCUGUCUGCUGGCUGUGGCUUGGCUUCAACCAGGCUGAUGUGGAUAUUUGCAUGGUGAACCUACAGAAAAGAUGCAUCUUGAUCUCUUUCUAAAGAUUUUAUUUAUUUAUCUGAGAGGCACAGUAAUAUUAAGGGGUGGGGGGUUGUUUUCAAGAUACUCCAUCUACUGGAGAUGCUCCAUCCAUUGAUUCCCUUCUCAAAUGGUUAAACUUGUGAGAGCUGGGCUGAUCUGAAGCCAUGAGCUGGGAU